AUUGAACGCUGGCGGCAUGCCUUACACAUGCAAGUCGAACGGUAACAGGUUAAGCUGACGAGUGGCGAACGGGUGAGUAAUAUAUCGGAACGUGCCCAGUCGUGGGGGAUAACUGCUCGAAAGACCAGCUAAUACCGCAUACGACCUGAGGGUGAAAGCGGGGGAUCGCAAGCCCUCGCGCGAGUGGAGCGGCCGAUAUCAGAUUAGGUAGUUGGUGGGGUAAAGGUCCACCAAGCCAACGAUCUGUAGCUGGUCUGGGAGGACGACCAGCCACACUGGGACUGAGACACGGCCCAGACUCCUACGGGAGGCAGCAGUGGGGAAUUUUGGACAAUGGGCGCAAGCCUGAUCCAGCCAUGCCGCGUGCGGGAAGAAGGCCUUCGGGUUGUAAACCGCUUUUGUCAGGGAAGAAAAGGUUCUGGUUAAUACCUGGGACUCAUGACGGUACCUGAAGAAUAAGCACCGGCUAACUACGUGCCAGCCGCCGCGGUAA
rnacentral:rRNA from 1 species